rnacentral:misc_RNA from 1 species
GAUGAAGAACGUAGCGAAAUGCGAUACUUGGUGUGAAUUGCAGAAUCCCGUGAACCAUCGAGUCUUUGAACGCAAGUUGCGCCUGAAGCCUCGGCUAAGGGCACGUCUGCCUGGGCGUCACGCAUCGCGUCUCCCCCAAACCGCCAAGGCGGAGGGGAAGGAAGAUGGCUUCCCGUGCCUCACCCGGCGCGGUUGGCCUAAAUUUGGAGCCCGCGGCACUUAGCUCACGCGGCGAUAGGUGGUGAACAAGGCCUUGGCCGUGCAAACAACCCGCUGCGGAGCUCUAUGUCACGUGCGCUCGUCGGACCCUUUGAAGUUGCCUUCGGUGACUUAAAACCUUUGCGACCCCAGGUCAGGCGGGGCUACCCGCUGAAUUUAAGCAUAUCAAUAAGCGGAGGA